GGACUUUAAAGGGCUGAGCCUCGCAGCCUUGCUGCCAUGCGGGAGCAGCUCCGCCAAAGGCUGGAGGAGGCAGGAAGGGCGGAGGGUUGGGAGUGCAAGAAUUUCUUUCGGUGCUGCACCUCUAAGCUGAAUAGCUCAGAAAGGAUUUCCUAAAUCGUGAGAGCUGGUCAGUUCCCAAGUGGCGGUUGCGGCAUCUUCAUCUUCGCAAGGCUAACCUGCCAGAGAUGAUUUCGAGUUGGGGCUAUCCUGCCUCCCAGCAGAGUUCUGGACUUAAGCCUGUCUCUUUGGGAGAGCACGUAACUUCCCUGUGAUUGUGGGAGAUCAUGACACUCGGACGGACAUCUCUUCCCGCCCACUGCACAAGAAAGGGAGUGUGCAGAACUCUGGCCCCCCUCUCUCCCAACCCUUGUACCAGUGCCAGAUGUGUCCCCCACUGGUACAGAGGAUGGAAGGGAGGGUGGUGCAGAGACUCAGUCCUCUUUGGAGUCCUCCCUCCCCAACUCUGAUGACAGCCAAAAGCCAGCAUCUUCUAGCACCCUCUUCCCUUCAACCAGCUCUGAAAGCCAGGCGGCCUCAUCCUCUCUCUGUGCUCACUCAUAACCACUGGCUCUGCUGAUGGGGUUCCCAAUGUGGGUCCUCAGACAUCUUUGGAGCCUAUCAAGGCCUCCUGCCCUUCUCUUGGAGAGUUGCCUGUUUUGUUUUGUUUUUGCCUUCUGGAUUUUUGUGGGGGAAAGGGGUAUAGGAGCCUUGCUUAUUUUUUUAUUUGCAUUGGCACUUUUUCUUCUGUGAAAUUUUGUGGUACCCAUGACAGCUAAUGCGAUUUCCAAAUGUGACCGCCCUCCCCACUCAGGACACAAAAUAAUAAUAAUAAUAAUAAUAAUAAUAAUAAUAAUAAUAAUAAUAAAUAGGGACCUCUGCCUGCUAAGCCCAGCCUUAGCCAAAGGAAGCCAUCUCUUCCUAGCUUCACAUGAAUUCUUCUUCUGAGAUUGUAUUGGCUGGCCAAAUUAAAAAUUGUUCUCAACAUGAUCGGAAGGAUUGUCAUUUUAUUGCAGACUGGUUUUGGGAGGGAGAAGCGGAGCUGCACUGGGGACUCUAGCAGGAUAUGAAACACAAUCACAGACCACAUCUGGACCUCGCCAUUUAAAGCGCUAUGAUGCCACUUUUAGCCGUUAUGGCUUCCCCCCAAGGAAUCCUGGGAACUAUAGAUUGUUAAGCAUGCUGAGAGCUAUUAGGAGACUCCUCUCUCUCUCUCAAAGAGCUACCAUUUCUAGAGUGGAUUAGCCAUCAAUCCCUCUUCCCACCCAGGGAAUGCUGGUAAUAGUAGCUCUUUGAGGGGAAUAGGGUGGCCUAGCAGCUCUCAGCAGCCUUAACGGAUGACUGUUCCCAGAAUCCUUUGGGGGGGCAGCCAUGAUUGUUAAAGAGGUAUAACGGUGCGGAUCCGACCGGGGUUAGAGAGAGGGGUGACUGUUCCCAGAAUCCUUUGGGGGGGCAGCCAUGAUUGUUAAAGAGGUAUAACGGUGCGGAUCCGACCGGGGUUAGAGAGAGGGCAGUGAGAGUAACUGGGAAUGGGGCGACUGGAGAAGGUGUUUGUGACAGCCUGUUUUGUUAGUGGCUGCAAGUAUGUGGCAGGGUGGGAGAAGCGCUCUCUCUCUGUGGGGGAAGCUGGAGGGGAAAUGCAGCCAGGCAUAAAACCAGGAGUGUGGGAUGGGAAAGAUGGGACUGCAAGACGGCAAGGUAGAAGAGUCGUCCAAGACAUUUCGCCACCUGAGGCGGAAAACCGAACGGCGCCACCUACAAAGUCAAGAUGCCUAGUACUCAAGGCCAGCCAAGUCAUUUUGGCGGCUGAGGCAGAAAACAUCACGCAUGCCUCUCUGGCAGUAAAAAAAAAAAAUCAACAACAAUAAAAUAAAAUUAAAUAAACAGAAUGAUUUCCUGCCCUUUCAUGACACCCAAAUCAGCUUCUUGAGGAGAACCAGUGCUUUUUUCAGGGGGGGGGGAGUUUAGGGGUACUCUCAUUUUGACUCAAGAAAAUCACCAUUUUAUAGUUCAAAUCGGGGGGGAAAUACAGUAAUGGACAAAUGGACAAAAGUACAACAAUUCACAAAAUGUUUAGGGGUAUGCGUACCCUUGCGUCUCCCCAGAAAUAAAGCACUGAGGAGAACAGAUGUAAAAAAGGAUUGUGUGUGUGUAUGUGUGCGUGUGUGUGUGCAGGGAGAGAAAGAGGUUUUAUUAUGCAAACUCUGGAUGAAGUGGGUUGGGGAUAUGCUUUUCUCUCUCGUUAUUCUUAGGGCUCAAGGUCAUCCAGCGGCAUGGCUUGGCCACGGAUUCAGGGCUGCUUCCCCACACAGAAACACUUCUUCGCAAAAUGCAUCAUUUGGGGUAGGGGUAACUUAUGCCAGACUGCACAACUCCCAUAAUCCAUUGCCAUUGGCCCUGCUUGCUGGGGCUGAUGGGAGUUGAAGUCCAGCCAACACCUCGGAGGCCACAGGUUCCUCAUCCCUGAUUGGUGGAAUUCAAGAAGCGGCGAUGGCCACUGGCCUAUGUGGCUUUAAAGGUGGUUGGGCAAAUUCAUGAAGGCUACUGGCGGCUCCUGGCCUGGAUGGUUAAAUUAAGCCUCCAUGUUUAUAGAGGCAGUGUGGAGCUGAAUCCCAGGGUGUCGGGGCCGAGGACUAUUUAUUAUUAUUUUCCCCGACAGAUUUGAGCCAUCCUCCCAUCUACACCAGCAGUGGGGAACUCGACUCAGCCCCAGCCAACCAUCGCCAGCCUUAAGGAAUGAUGGGAGUUGUUGCCUAGCAACCUGGAGGCAGGGAAUCACACAGUCCCCACCCCUGCUCUAUGAAAAACAGGUGGAGCAGACUUUAAUAUGAAAAUGGCUGAUUAAUUUAAUAUGAUCUGACCCGGCUCCAAAAUGAUUGUAGUGUUGGCUCCAGUCGCACUCUUAAGUGGACGGCAUUCUGCAAAUGCUGGCGGGGUGAUCACUCUCAAAAAGCAGAAUAAUUUUCAGGAUUUACCAGCCCCUUUGGCUUUGGAGGAAGUUUCCAUCCUAGUGGGACUGUAGUCCCAACUGUGGGAUAACUUCCACUGGGUUCCAAUGGUCUCUGCAUUUUGGCUCAAAACAUUGCAAUCCCCACCCCCAUGCAUCUCUCAGGCCUGCUUACCUUUCCGUUCCAUGCUGACAAGCCCCUAUGAACUCUUCCUAGCAGCCUCCAUUUCCGCUGCUCUAAAUAGCAGCCCUGCUCCAAGCACAUUGUGACUGUUCUAACUUAGGCUCCCUUGCUUUUUUUUUUGUCACAGUCAUCCUCUGCUGCCAAUGGGGAUGGGGGAGGAAUUGGGUUCAGUUCGCAUUUAAAGGCAAAAGCCACCGAUUCAUACUUGCUGAAACAAAAAUGUGAACCAAGAUAUAGUUCGCUUUCAAAAUUCAAGUUACAGGUAGGAGAAGACUUCAAUCUCCCAGGACAUUCUAUACAAGAUCUCAAAGCAGCUGUUUUAUUACAGAAAAAUUUCAGGAACAGACUGGAAAGAGAAGCUGCUGAAUUGGAACUCAUUACCAAGCUUAAAACCAUGGAGCUACCUGGGAUGAAUAAAGACAUCGGAUUCUUAUCUCAUUAUGCAUGAUCAAGCUUUCUUUAGCGUCUCAGCCCUUGUUUUUCCCCCCCAGGAUCAAUUGCAGUCAUCAGCAGUCGUUAACAGCCAUCUACAGGUUUACCACUCCCAUCAGCCCAUCACCCAUUCCCAUCACCCCCACCCUCUGAAUAUACAUAAGGGUUUGGUGGAUUCUGUUCCAGUGUAUCUGACGAAGUGUGCAUGCACACGAAAGCUCAUACCAAAAUAAAAACUUAGUUGGUCUUUAAGGUGCUACUGAAGGAAUUUUUUUAUUUCAAAAUUCAGUUUGCUAUUCAAUAAAUGCAUAGAAAAAUGAUGUGUGUGUUUGUGUCCGUGUUAAAAUGAUAUACAAAAAUGCAUUUUUUAAGGAAACUGCUUUGCAGAAAUGUGUUGUGUUAGGCAGAAGUCCAUACAGAAAUGUGGAUAGUAGAAGAAAUUCACACCAGGAUUUUUUUUUAAAUAAAUAAUGCAAAGUGAUGUGGACUUGAACUUAAAGAUCAGAACAAAUGAGAAACACAAAGCAAUCGAAAUUGUCAGCAUGUUUAGCAUCACUGGGUGACAUAGAAGUUAGGAGGCCCUGUGCUCUAGGAAAACUUAACUUUGGUGGUUAACUACUCAAAUUUGUCUGUGGAGACGCUAUAAUAACUAUUAAUGUCUUAAGAAUAUUCUUGAAAUGGUGAAUUUUACCACAUGUGGUGGACUUGCGAUAAGAUUAAACCAUUCUGGGAAAUGCUAUAUAAUGAGCUAAAAAAGAUAUUUGGAUAUACCUUUUCCAAAAAGCCAGAAGCCUUUUUCUUGGGCCUGAUGGGUAAUGAGAUUUUAAAAUCGGACCAAAGAUUGUUUAUGUAUGCCACUGUAGCAGCAAGAACGCUAAUAGCCCAAAAGUGGAAAUUGCAGGAGGUACCCUCGAUAGCGGAGUGGUGGACGAAAAUGAUAGAUUACAUGGAGAUGGCCAAACUGACCCACAGAAUCCGUGACCAGAACGACGGGAGAUUUCGGAAGGAAUGGAGUAAAUUUGUAAAAGAUAAUUACAGAGAGAUGAAGACACUAGCGGGACUGACGUAAAACCUACAUCUUAAGUAAACUAAGUAAAUGCAUGAUUGGAUUGAUAUAUUUUAC